GUAUUAAUUCUAACACAGGUAUUCUAGUUGAAUAAAUGAAAGCAAAAAGAUUAAUAAUAUUGAAGGAACUCGGCAAAUUAACUUUGUAACUUCGGGAUAAAAAGGACUAAAUGUAUUUAAAAAGAAGGGGUGGCGACUGUUUAUUAAAAACAUAAGAUUUUGCUAAAUUUUAUAAAAUGAUGUAUAAGAUCUGACACCUGCCCAAUGCUGCAAGAUGAAAUAAAAUAGUUAUGCUGUUUUUAUAAAUCCCAGUGAAUGGCGGCCGUAACCCUGACGGUCCUAAGGUAGCGAAAUUCCUUGACGGGUAAGUUCCGUCCUGCAUGAAUGGUGUAACGACUGCCCCGCUGUCUCCAAUAUUAUUCUUACGAAAUUGAAUUAGUUGUGAAGAUGCAAUUAUUUUAUAGUUAGACGGGAAGACCCUAUGCACCUUUACUAUAACCUGUAUUUAAAUUUUGAUUUUUUUAGCCUAGUAAUGUAGG
rnacentral:rRNA from 1 species